GUACUUUCUUCAGUAGCACAUAUAUUGAAUUGGAAUAGCACGGUGAAGGUAAGCAUGAUCCCUCAACAAGAAUGACAUGAAAAUCUAUGAAGUAUUCCGUGUUUUG